rnacentral:rRNA from 1 species
UACGUAGGGGGCAAGCGUUGUCCGGAAUCAUUGGGCGUAAAGCGCGUGUAGGCGGCCCGAUAAGUCCGCUGUGAAAACUCGAGGCUCAACCUCGAGACGCCGGUGGAAACCAUCAGGCUAGAGUCCGGAAGAGGAGAGUGGAAUUCCUGGUGUAGCGGUGAAAUGCGCAGAUAUCAGGAAGAACACCCGUGGCUAAGGCGGCUCUCUAGUACGGUACUGACGCUGAGACGCGAAAGCGUGGGGAGCGAACAGG